rnacentral:rRNA from 1 species
UACGUAGGGGCAAGCGUUGUCCGGAAUCAUUGGGCGUAAAGAGCGUGUAGGCGGCCCGGUAAGUCCGCUGUGAAAGUCCAGGGCUCAACCCUGGAAUGCCGGUGGAAACUGUCGGGCUAGAGUCCGGAAGAGGCGAGUGGAAUUCCUGGUGUAGCGGUGAAAUGCGCAGAUAUCAGGAGGAACACCAAUGGCGAAGGCAGCUCGCUGGACGGUACUGACGCUGAGGCGCGAAAGCUAGGGGAGCGAACAGG